rnacentral:rRNA from 1 species
GACGAACGCUGGCGGCGUGCUUAACACAUGCAAGUCGAACGGAAAGGCCCUGCUUUUGUGGGGUGCUCGAGUGGCGAACGGGUGAGUAGCACGUGAGUAACCUGCCCUUGACUUUGGGAUAACUUCAGGAAACUGGGGCUAAUACCGGAUAGGAGCUCCUGCUGCAUGGUGGGGGUUGGAAAGUUUCGGCGGUUGGGGAUGGACUCGCGGCUUAUCAGCUUGUUGGUGGGGUAGUGGCUUACCAAGGCUUUGACGGGUAGCCGGCCUGAGAGGGUGACCGGCCACAUUGGGACUGCGAUACGGCCCAGACUCCUACGGGAGGCAGCAGUGGGGAAUAUUGCACAAUGGGCGGAAGCCUGAUGCAGCAACGCCGCGUGCGGGAUGACGGCCUUCGGGUUGUAAACCGCUUUCGCCUGUGACGAAGCGUGAGUGACGGUAAUGGGUAAAGAAGCACCGGCUAACUACGUG